UGCUGCCUGCGGUGCUGGUGUACUUCGAAUGGAUAUUCGAAGUACACCAAAUCACAUAGGGAGCUCAAAAUAAAAGUAUGGCCAACAUGCCUCUUAGAGGAAGUUGAAAAUACUUUUGCGAGCACCCACCUGCCAUAGAGCGGGUUCGUGAUACCAAAGAAGCAAACCGCACGGCGGGCGACGA
rnacentral:other from 1 species